GUCUCCUUAUACAAUUAAAAGAAUAUAGAAUAAGUAACCAUUGGGAUAUUUUGCCAUCAAGCUGGCAAAAAAAAAAAAAAGAUAAAUGCUCAGCGUUAGCAAAGCAUGUAACUGGCUAUUCCAAUACAAAAGAGCCACUGCAAACAGUAAAGGCGUUUUGGAAGGCAAUGUGAAGUAGGUAACAGGCUUCCCAGAAGGCCUAGUGGUGAAGAAGCCACCUGUCGAUGCAGGAGACAUAGGAGGCUUGGGGCCGAUCCCUGUAUCAGGAAGAUCUGCUGGGGGAGGGCACAGCACCCCACUCCAGUGUUCUUGUCUGGGAAAUCCCAUGGACAGAGGAGCCUGGUGGGCUACAGGCCACGGGGUCACAACGAGUUGGGCACAACUUAGCAACUCAGCAACACACACAGAGUAACUGACAAAAUCUGUAUGCAAACUCUUUCCACAACCAAACUAUUUCUGAAAAUCACUUCCAAGGCACACAGUACAGGUGUGCAAAGAGGGAUCCCACCAUCAGCUUCAUGGGAAUAAAAACAUGUCUGAGCACGCACUGCAGAUGGUAUUAUGAGUGAGGCGGGCGCUGCCCCACCCGCAUGGCACAGGGGAGGGACGUGGGCACAGAGGUACGGAGUGGCUUGUCUUAGGGUUCACAGGUACUAUCGCAGCACCACUCCAAACACUGAAGCAGUGCCCUCCUGGUGGCACAGUGGGUAAGAGUCUGUCUACCAAGGCGGGGGACACGAGUUUGAUUCCUGGUCCAGGAAGACUCCACGUGCCGCAGAGAAGCUAGGUCCGUGUGCCACAACUACUGAGCCCAAGUACCCUAGGGCCCACGUGUUGCAACUACUGACACCUGUGAGUCGAGAGCCCACACUCUGCAACAAGCGGAACAAGGGGAGAAAGGAGAUUCAAAGAUGAAAUAAAAUGCUGAAAUGCUGCAAAGAAGCUAACGGUCCAUUCACAGAGAUGUGGUUAAACAGUAUCUCCUCCAGAACACCACAAAGCUUUUACAGCUGGUGAGCCUGACCUAGAGGAACUAACUGGAACAGAUUUUCAACACAAGAUAGGCCACAGAGACUUCUUUAUAAUAUCGUCUCAUGUCUGACCUGUGUGUAUGUGGUAUCUCCAUCUCCUCCCUCAGCGUGCACACACAAGAGGUGUGGCAGGCACUUCAGAGACACUAACAGUGGUUAUUUGGGGUGGAGGGGAGAGUUCGGAAGAAUGACCUUUGGAUGGGAGAUCACCUGUUUGACUAUGUCCAUAUACAGCAAUGUUGCAAUCUUAAUUGCAUUCAUCUACAGCUUUCACAUUGAGGUGAGAAUGAAGCAGAACAAAUCUAAGUUGGAUUGUGGGAUCUCUUUCAUGUGAUCACCCUCUAAGCCUAACCCAUUAUUUGCAGAGGCUCUGAACAGACCGUGAAGCUGCAACCUGCUCUUCCGCACGUCAAUCUGGAAUCCCCCGCGUUUGCGUCCUCAGUCUUUGAAGUAAACUCUGACAUCCUGGGCAACCAAGGGAUGGAUAAACAAGACAGAACACAGACCCUCUUUUCCCCUCUUUCCUUCCAUGUGUGAAUCAGGAAAAGGGCAGGGGGCACCUCAGCUUGGGGAUCACGUGACCCAGAUACCCCAGCAGCAGAGCUCCUCUCUGCCUCUGGACCAUCUGUCAGUCUGCUCCUACAACAGCUGCUGGGGCACAAGUCUCGUUUACUCUCAGAAAUAAUCAUUCCUGUUUACAAAUGACAUAUUUUACCACUCACCUGUGGAACCCUGAUUAUGCACUGAUCCAACUCACAAACUAUGAAUCUGAAAGGGAACUUUCCAUAAAUGUAAAACAGUUACCCUUCCCCUAGUUCCCUCUCUGUGGUGAAGAGUAUUUCUACCUUGUAUUUAACAACAAACAUGGCAAGUCAAAGCAGCAGGUUAUCAUGGAAAUAGUCUUGAGAAUUUUCUAAGACUGGUUCCCCAGAGCAGGACAUUUUGAACAAAGUGAAACAAAAAACUUUAGAACAGAGGUUAAACAGGUUUCACCACCAUGGUAGUCAUACAGCUGUGGAGUGAGUAGGAAAAAGCUGAGACUGUGUGGAGAAGUGAGGAAAUAAACAUAAAGAGUUCCCAGAUCCUUCUUCAUGCUGCGUCUACCCUCAGUCAAGGAAAGGAGAGGGACCUGCAGCUAACAGGCAGGCAUUGUAUUUUAAGGAAUAUUAUUUUACAUGUUUAUAAGCUCGUAAAUGCCACAUUAACCGACAUAAGUAGGCAUGCUUUGUGGGCCCUUAUUUGAGCAGAGCUUCUUUUCUUUCAUGAAGAUACCCUAGAACUCCUAAUGGAUAGAGAGGGAGAGCUGGAGAAGAGCAUGCUCCUAAAAUAAACACCAAGGGAGAAGAGACACAAAGUCCACUGAGGACUUCUCAGAAGUAACCAUGAAAUUAAAAGAUGCUCACUCCUUGGAAGAAAAGCUAUCACAAACCAGACAGCAUAUUAAAAAGUAGAGACAUCGUUUUGUGGACAAAGGUCUGUAUAGUUAAAACCAUGGGUUUUCCAGUAGUCAAAUACACACGUGAGAACUGGACCAUGCAGAAGGUCCUUGGACUUCAAGAAGAUCAAACCAGUCCAUCCUAAGGAAUCAACCAUGGAUAUUCACUGGGAGGGCUGAUGCUGAGGUUGAAGCUCCUAAACUUUGACUAUCGGAUGUAAAGAGCCAGCUCAUUGGAGAAGACCCUGAUGCAGGGAAAGAGAAGGCGGGAGGAGAAGGAUGCGAUGGGUGGAUGACAUCAUCGACUCCAUGGAAAUGAGUUUGAGCAAACUCUGGGAGAUGGUGAAGGACAGGGAGGCCUGGCGUGCUGCAGUCCACGGGUUGUUCCAAAAGAGCUGAAUAGGACUCAGUAACUGAACGGCAACAGCAGCCCUUCACUUCACCGGAACUGGAUCUGAAAUUCUAAGAUACAGCUCGAAGCUCUGGAUGUCUGUAUGGACCAGAGGAAACAAACUACACUUGGAAAUGAUGAUUCAGGAGAAAAUUCAGACCGUCCUGCCUUACUCACCCUUCCAUCUAUGUAAAUGGACAUCACACACAUGCGCACACAUACAUGGAUGUGUGUUAUAUGUCUGCUGUGUGGCUAGAUAUGCAGAGAGAUAGAUAGGAUCUGAAACAGGGAAAAAGAAUAACAGAAAAAUAUAUACAAAAUUAUGAAGCAAAGAAAGGACAUACUUUAAUUCUUUAAAAAAUAUACACCUUCAGGCUCCCCUGGUGGUGACAACGCAGCAGACACAGGUUUGACCCCUGGUCUGGGAGGGUGCCACAUGCCGCCGGGCAACUAAGCCUGGGAACCCCAGCUGCUGAGCCCACAUCUGCUCGAGCCUGAAUUCAACAGGAGAGGCAAGUGUGGUAAGCAGUCGUCACACGAGAGCUAGAGGGCAGCGGCCACCUGACGCAGCUAGAGGAAAGCCCAACGGCAGCAAAGGCCCAGCGCAGGCAGAAUGGAGAAUGCUGUAUAAAGAGCAGGCUUCCCUGGUGGCUCAGAGGAAGGAAAGGAGAUGGAAUCAGAUAUCGAGAAUCAUUUCUUCAUCUUAGAUCAUCUGAACUUUGUCGGAGGUAUUGAUAUCAAAAGCAGAGAGAGAAAAGUCAAACAAAACGAGGUGCUAGAGUCGUGACUGGAAAGAUCACAGAGGUUCCUGGAUUUUUCUUAAGAAAAAAUGUAAAUCCUCUAUGGAAAAAUAUAUCCUCCCUUUAAGUCCGAAGUUUCCCACAGUUUAAGAUCAAAUAUGCCUGAGUUCACAAUCAAAGACAACAAACAUGAAAAGAAACCUCAAGAACGUCAUUAGAAG
ensembl:lncRNA